AACAGAGGUCUCAAGCGUUGUUCGGAUUCAUUGGGCGUAAAGGGCGCGCAGGCGGCUACGCACGUCCGUUGUGAAAUCGCUCGGCUCAACUGGGCGGGGUCAGCGGAUACGGCGUAGCUGGAGCAAGCUAGGGGGCAAUGGAAUUCCCGGUGUAGUGGUGGAAUGCGUAGAUAUCGGGAGGAACACCAGUGGCGAAGGCGGUUGCCUGGAGCUUUGCUGACGCUGAGGCGCGAAAGCGUGGGGAGCGAUCCGG
rnacentral:rRNA from 1 species